ensembl:lncRNA
GGGCCACACCUGUGGUGUAUGGAGAUUCCCAGGCUAGGGGUCGAAUCGGAGCUGUAGCUGCCGGCCUACGCCACAGCUACAGCAACGAGGGAUCCAAAUCUCAUCUGCAACCUACACCACGGCUCACAGCAACACCAGAUCCUUAACUCACUGAGUGAGGCCAGGGAUCGAACCCACAACCUCAUGGUUCCUAGUCAGACUCGUUAACCACUGAGCCAUGACGGGAACUCCAAUGAGGUCUUUCUUUUUAAUUAAUAUGAGGUCUAAGCACAAACCUGACCAUAUUCCUCUUGAGCAUAGAUUCUUCCAUGGCUUCCCAGUACCUCAGGCCUCUAAGAUUCCAAGGUUGACAUUUAAGGUCUUCCCUCCACAUUCUCCUAACAGGUUCUAACAAACAUACAGCCAGACUUCAUGGACCUUACUGGGAAGUAAAUUAGGCCCUGUAACAGGGGUAGGUAGAGUAGUGGACCUCCCACCAUAGGAAAUAUUAAAUGGAAUUUGGACAGCCACUAGCUGUGGAAAAAGGCAAAUUCCUGCCCUGGAUAACGACUGGGGAAGUAACAGAUUCCAGGUCUGAGAUACUUCAAAAAUUUUUAAGAUCCUAAAGACAACCAGCCUUUGGAGUCCCCAUUGUGGCUCAGCAGGCCAGGAACCCAACUAGUAUCCAUGAGAAUGCAGGUUCGAUUCCCCCUGGCCUUGUUCAGUGGGUUAAAGAUCUGGCGUUGCCUCAAGCUGCAGUGAAGUUCAUGGAUGCAGCUUGGAUCUGGUGUUGCAGUGGCUGCGGCACAGGCCAGCUGCAAUGGCUGAUUCAACCCCCAGCCUGGGAACUUCCAUAUACCAUGGGUAUGGCCCUAAAAAGACAAACAAACAAAAACCCAAAAACCAAAAACAAAACCAGAAAGAAAGAAAAAAAAAAAAAAGUUUUUAUUGAGGGUUUGUGCCAAGCGUGAUAUGGUUCAUGUGAAUUCGUUCCCGUUUGCAUGUGAAUCCCUUACUUUAAGAGAUUCCUGAAAUUCCCGUUGUGGCUCAGUGGUUAAUGAAUCUGACUGGGAACCAUGAGGUUUCAAUCCCUGGCCUCACUCAGUGGGUUAAAGAUCUGUGUUGCCGUAAGCUGUGGUGUAAAUUGCAGACACGGCUUGGAUCCCCUGUUGCUGUGGCUGUGGUGUAGGCCAUCGGCUACAGCUCAGAUUAGACCCCUAGCCUAGGAACCUCCGCAUGCCGCAGGUGUGACCCUGAAAAAAAAAAAAAGAGAGAGAGAGAGCAAGAGAGAGAGAUUUCCAAGCAUCUCUUGGGACUAUUUUAGAACUUCUCUUUUUUUGUUUGUUUUUGUUUUUUGUCUUUUUUUUUGCUAUUUCUUGGGCCGCUCCCACGGCAUAUGGAGGUUCCCAGGCUAGGGGUCUAAUCGGAGCUGUAGCCACCGGCCUACGCUACGCCAGAGCCACAGCAACGCGGGAUCCAAGCUGCGUCUGCAACCUACACCACAGCUCAUGGCAAUGCCGGAUCGUUAACCCACUGAGCAAGGCCAGGGACCGAACCCACAACCUCAUGGUUCCUAGUCGGAUUCGUUAGCCACUGCGCCACCGAGGGAACUCCAGAACUUUUCUUUAUGUGCCAACCUUAGACCCCACAGAAAGCCAUGCUAAGCUAACUAUUUCCCCCGCCCAGCAUGCCAGGGAUCAGACCCAAGUUGCAGGUGCAACCUAAGUCGCAGGUGCAGCAACACCAGAUCCUUAAGCAACUGUGCCAGGCUCGGGAGCGAAUGAACCCACAUCCCAGUACUCCUAAGACACCACUGAUCCCUUUGAGCCACAGCAGGAACUUCCCGAGUUGACAUCUGAGCAAAAACCUAAAGGGGAAGGAGUGAGCUAUAUGGAACUUGAGAAGAAAACAACCCUGGCAGAGGGAAUAGUAAGUGCAAAGGCCCUGGGGUGACCAAGCCUGGCACAGCUGGAUAUCCCCAUGGCUGCCUCGCUUCAGUCUGACCUCUGCUCAAACACACCCUCCCAAAGGCCUUCCUUGACGUUUCUGUUCAAUCUAAAAUGGCACUCCAAAUCCCAAGCACUCCAUCUCCUUACCAUCCUUCUCUUUAUGCAUUUAUUUUACCCCGAGAAAGAAACCCCCAACCAUUUUCACUCUCCUCCAUGAGAACAUCAGCUCCUUCAGGGCAGAGCUUCUUCUCUAAUCUGUUCACUGAUGGAACCUUAAACCUGGCAGUCGGUGCUUAGGAAAUAUUUGUUAAGUAAAUGAAUGAGAAGUCUCAUUAGUACACUCUUAUUAGUGAGCAAACUGAGAUGCUUGAGACCUUGCCCAGGGUCACAGGGUGACCUGAGAACUCAGCGCCUGCUGGGACAGGCCUUAACUCUGGCCCAACCCCAUCCCCUGGACGAUGCCCUGAAGCAGACAAGCAAAAAGCAUUCAGUAUAAACAUCCUAGGCCAUGUCACGUAGCAGAGUAUCUCAGAGGCCUCCCGUCCAGCUUUGAGCAGGUGUGACCUGACAGAAAGCAUCAUC